rnacentral:rRNA from 1 species
UACGGAGGGUGCGAGCGUUAUCCGGAUUCACUGGGUUUAAAGGGUACGUAGGUGGGCAGGUAAGUCAGUGGUGAAAUCUCCGGGCUUAACCCGGAAACUGCCAUUGAUACUAUCAGUCUUGAAUACCGUGGAGGUAAGCGGAAUAUGUCAUGUAGCGGUGAAAUGCUUAGAUAUGACAUAGAACACCAAUUGCGAAGGCAGCUUACUACCCGAAUAUUGACACUGAGGCACGAAAGCGUGGGGAUCAAACAGG